GAUGAGCCGGCGCCUUGCCGUAAAACCCCUAAUCUUUCACAAGGUUGACCUCGGAUCAGGUAGGAAUACCCGCUGAACUUAAGCAUAUCAAUAAGCGGAGGAAAAGAAACCAACAGGGAUUGCCCUAGUAACGGCGAGUGAAGCGGCAACAGCUCAAAUUUGAAAUCUGGCCUUCGGGUCCGAGUUGUAAUUUGCAGAGGAUGCUUUGGGCGCGGUGCCUUCCGAGUUCCCUGGAACGGGACGCCUUAGAGGGUGAGAGCCCCGUACGGUUGGACACCAAGCCUCUGUAAAGCUCCUUCGACGAGUCGAGUAGUUUGGGAAUGCUGCUCUAAAUGGGAGGUAAAUUUCUUCUAAAGCUAAAUAUUGGCCAGAGACCGAUAGCGCACAAGUAGAGUGAUCGAAAGAUGAAAAGCACUUUGAAAAGAGGGUUAAAUAGCACGUGAAAUUGUUGAAAGGGAAGCGUUURCGACCAGACCUUUUCSCAGCGGAUCAUCCGGUGUUCUCACCGGUGCACUUCGCUGGGUUGAGGCCAGCAUCGGUUUCCGCAGGGGGAUAAAAGCCUGGGGAACGUAGCUCCCUCGGGAGUGUUAUAGCCCCUCGCAUAAUACCCUUGCGGGGACCGAGGACCGCGCU
rnacentral:rRNA from 1 species